rnacentral:lncRNA from 1 species
CUUACUAUGAUCUUUUGGGAUUUUUUCCCUCCAAUUCGGGAGCGGGAACCGGAAUCGGGAACCAUGCGAUCGCGGUGUCAUCACGUGGUAGAAAAUGAAACUUUGAUUUGCCGCCUGUCGGGUAUUGAAUUGAAUACAAGUUAGAGCAGAACUACACCAGCGCCGCCAUUACACUACACGCAUUUCAUACAUCCAUUGAUUCAUCAUGAAAGCGGUGAAAGUGUGGGUCUCGUGGUCGAAAUGUUGUUUUGCUUCUACAACUGGUAUUAUUCGCGUGUUUUUGGGUAUGUUUUGUCCUGUGGCUAGAUACGUACGUAUAUAAAUAUUUAAACUACGAUGGUCACGUUAGUUAAAUCAGCUCUAUGAAAUUUGUUAAAAUCUUAAUGGGAAUCUAUUUACAAUAUCAAUUGAACAAUUUUGAGCUCCAGUUUGUCAAUUGAUGAAGGAUUCACCAUGAGGAAGGGUUUACCGGUGUUCAGAUCAUGGUAUAAUAGGUUGAGACAAAUUCUAUUAAGACUUAACCUAUUAUACCAUGGUUCGGAUUACAUGGGAUUGCUGGAGGGAAGCAGGAUGUUUGUGGAUGAUUCUGAUAGCAGUUUAAAGAGCGUGAAUGUUAAUUGCUUGCUCAACCUUCUUGCCAUAAGGUUGCUUGUCAUGAUUUCUACUGAAUCUGAACAGAACAAAAUAGAAUUUCUUUUUUAUGGUGAUUAGUGUGUUUUAAAAAUGAAGUCUUUUCAGUGGUGAUUAAUGUUUUUCCCAGGAUAUUUCUAUAUGUAGCACCAGAGGUGUAUUGCAAACUAAACCAGUUGGUUUUCGAUUCUGGCUGUACUCCUAUGUUGAUUAAAGGCCUUCUACUCGAAUCAUUCUGGUGACUAGAAUAUGACAUAAUCUAUGCCCAUAUCCUGCAUGUCAAAGGUUGGCUUAAGUAGACAUCCUUUUCUUUAGUUGCUUGUCUGUCCUGUACUGUGUUCAAAAAAGGAUCUUCUAUUGUGCAAGGGGGUAAGGGACUGGUGACACAUCCCAGACACCCAAAAAUGUACUAUAUUUAUAUGUUAUUUGAAAUGAUGUAAGUUGGUUGGACCAGUACUCUUCAUAUUCGGAUUUGCCGAUGCGGUUAGGUUUGAAGCGAUUAAUUGAAUAUGGUUAGAUUAAUAGUUGAGUCGCAGUUGAUAAACCCGAUUCCACUAUUUAUUCUUACUUUUGAUUGAUAUAUACCAUUCUCAUGUGUUUGAUAUAUUUUCCAUUUUACUAUUGUUUGGUAAAAAUGCAGCUCUUAACAUGCCAUCCAAACAGUCUGCAAAGUGAACCAUAUUUCAUCCAUUUACCUAGGAAAUUUCCAUUUGACAAUAUAAUUCUAUCUGCAGUUUGAACAUUUACACCUAAAUGUACACACGCCUUAAAUCACAGAGCAAAAUAGGGAGAUUAUAAUGUGACUCAUGGCUCAUUGGUUGCGCAUCGGCCAGGUAUGCUGUAAUGUAAAGGUUCGAUUCCUUACAGAGUCAAUUUGAAAUAAAAUGUGAAUUAAAAAGAAUAUUCUAAUGGCAAUAUGGCACUUUCAAACAGUGUGUUCUUAAAUAAAUUAUUUCCAUGAAAAGUUCACUAUUUAGCAUGCGAUGCUUGCAGAUUGGCAAUUCAACUAUGAUACACUGAUGAGAUCUAUAUAGUCGCCUCAAUCUGUAAAUAACGAACUUGUAAAUCAUCAUGGAAGGAUAAGAGCAUUGUACAAAAUGAAAACAAAAUUAUAGGAAAAAGAAACAUUUUUGAAAAAAAAAUUUACGCAUUUUGUAUUGAUAUAUAACCUGUAAAGUAUGCUCCAGUUUACUACACUGAGGGUCCCAAAUAUUCGGCCCAAAAAUACACUACAACAUAUGCUGCUCCAAGCUAUUAUAUCCUCAACACUAUACCACAAAGGCAGCUGAGUACUACACCACAACAUACGCUGCUCCGGCUUACUACACUGAGGCUCCUGAAUACUACACAAACACUUACGCUGCCCCAGCUUACUACACUGAGGCACCUAAAUAUUACCAGACUGAGGCUCCAAGAUAUUAUACUAAAAAGGCCCCCGAGUAUACCACAUCAUAUGCUGCACCGAGCUACUACACUGAAGCUCCGAAAUACUACACAACAACCUAUGCAACCCCAUCCUACUACACUGAGGCUCCCAAGUACUAUUAAUCGUGAAAAUUGCGUUGUCCAUCAAGCUCGACGAUGGAAUAUUCAGAUUUGAUUUUAUCAUUUACAGUCCUCGUUCCAGGAUAAGUAUUUCCAUUUAUGCAUUCACUAGUCGUUCCAUACAAAUGUUUCCAAAUGAAUUGUUGAAUACAGAUAUAAUGCCGUUAA